GUUUAUUUUCUCAUCCCUAGUGGCAAUGACUCAGGACCAAGUCAUCCCUUUUUUUACAGGAAUUACCUAUGAAGGAAACUGGAAACUCUGUGAUGUCUCUCUGGCGUCUUUCCCUCCAGCUGGUGCCUCUGAACCUCUUCUGAAGGGGCCUGUGCAGAGCAGAGCUUGGCAACAAGAAAUUUUCACGGGUCCAGACAAUGAACAUACUAUCAAUAAGUCAGAGGCAGAAAUACUAUCACUAAAACCAUGGAAGAAGUCCUGGAAUCUCGGUUCAGACUGUGAUGGCAACAGUGAGGGCUGCAGGCAGGUGAUGAGGUGCUGCUGGGGCCCAGGCCUGAGGAAAGAAACUACCUAGAAACAGCAAUACUUGACCUGAAAAUAAGGAUCCCAUUUGAACUCCAGCAUAAGCCUCUUCAGAACUCCACGCUUGGACUGAAUAUGUUCCUGGAGGAGUAGAGCACAGUUUCAUUAUUCCAGCAGAGUUGCACCCGCUUGCCUCAAGAGUUAAUUUGGCAGCUUCACUGCAAGGGACCGACUCAGAAGGUACAAAGUGUAUUACAGCUGAAAUGUUAUUAAAGUCUGUGCCUCCUUAGAAAUCCUUUCACAGCU
rnacentral:lncRNA from 1 species